AAGUCGUAACAAGGUUUCCGUAGGUGAACCUGCGGAAGGAUCAUUAUUGAAUUGUGAAUGGGGCUUGAUGCUGGCUUGUCCAUCCUUUGGCUGCAUGUGCUCCCCGGGCAAUCCUUUUCCAACACCUGUGCACUUCCUUGUGAGAAUGGGAGAGAAAGGGCUUGCCUCUUUUAUCUCGUCUCAGAUCAUAAACGCUGUUUGUAAUGUUGAUGCAUUUAUGCCGUCAAAGGCUUAACCUAAUACAA
rnacentral:misc_RNA from 1 species